AUAUUAUUUCACCGAGAGGCCGCACCAUACACGCCCACCACCCCUGACUGCUGUGGUCUCAGCGGACGCUGUAGCGGGCAGGAGUCUGUUCCCUGCUUGGCCUUGUUGGACACCCACCGGCUUGGGGCUGUGGUUGGGAGCCUCGUCACAGUCUCCGAAGCGAGGAAGUCUAGGCCUGUCACUCAGCCGUUACUCAUGGGGACAGAGGCGUGGCUGCCGGUUUUGCUGUGGUGUUUGGAUGGUGGUUAGAGUCUACACGUUUUGGACCUAGACCCUGGGAUGCAAUGAUACACGGAACAUUCAAAUCCUGGUUUCAUGAGCAUCCCCUCUACCUGAGAGAGAGUCAGUAAGGGAAAGACUGCUGUUUCAGCGGGUGUCGCCUGCAGGGCCGUGAUGGAGCACACGGUGACAGUGAGCUUGGUGCUGGUUAAGGUCAUGGUGCUCAGGUGACACCUGACCCCGGCCCAGGAAGACCCGCACAAUGCUGGGGAUCAGCUUUCAGGCCGAGGGCACAGCCCCCGGCCUCGGAGUCCCACGUGCAAAGCAGGGGUGGACGUGGUGCCCACAGCGUGCAGAGGUGGACAGCGUGGACCGCAGCCCCGCACGCUGGUGCUCACGCUCGCAGCAGUGAGCUGUGUGCUGUGAGAAUCGGGCAUGGCGAGUCCAGGGCAGUCGGAGUGUGUCCUGCCGCACCUCCCAUCAGGUCUCCCCACCAUGUCCCGGCUUCACAGGGUCCCCCACCCAGCAUCUGGCAGCAUCUCGAAGGGCUGUCCCAGUGUUCCCGCGGGGCUCACACCCAGGCGAACGACGGGUCCCAGCUGGUGCACUGCUGGCCUGUGCGGGCUUUCUUCCCAGAGCACUGUCCCUCUCCAGUCGCCGUUUCCAAGCACGGGAUGGCGUUCACAAUAGCCAGUCUGUGACAUUCUGCUGCAGGGUCCCCCAGACCUAGGUGGCCGGGCACGCGGCCAGCUGUGCCUGCCCCUCGCCUUCCAGGGAGCUGGUGCCAGGAACACCUGAGGCUGACCCCCUGACCCAACAUCCUUUCAGUUUAAAAUCUAAACGAUGCUGAAAAGAAAAGGAGAGAGAGGGCCCGUUCCAUACCCCCUUUCCUCCCUUGUGCAUCCUCACUCCUUGACCUGGCGGCAGUCGGCCCCAGCAGCUGUCCACCUACGCCCUGACCCUGUACAAGCACACGGCCACAGUGGACGGCAGGAUGGUGCUUGUGGACUUUUGGGACACAGCAGGCCAGGAGCGGUUCCAGAGCAUGCACGCCUCCUACUACCACAAGGCCCACGCCUGCAUCAUGGUACGAGUCCAGCGGGGAGGCGGGCAGAGGCUCAGGGCAAGUCUGGCCUGAGGGCUGCUGGGGGGACAGGGGCCCAGCAGUGCUGAGGGGGCUCCCAAGGCCUCCCAUGACCACCACCUGGUGCUCUCGCCGGGGGCAGAUGCUGGGGCUGAGGACUCUCCCUCCCAGCCUUCACUUUCUGUCCAGGACACAGCCUUGCACCGGGCGCCCGCGGCCAGGGAACAGUGUCCCAACAGGACACAACUCGGCCGCGGGAAGAGCCGGGACAGGGGAGAAGGUUCGUGUCAGCCUGUGUCCUUUAGGGCCUGCCCCUGAACUCCCGGGCUCCGUUCUCAGGCCCUACUGUCCCUUAAAUACAAAAGCCCUUGAUAUCUUCCAAAAUUUUAACUAGUCCGUGUAAGGGGACAAAACCAAAGAGGGUGACAGGGCGAGGCAGUAGGGGCAGUGUUGUGCCAGCAGCCAGGCUUGGAGGCUUGCGUUCCCAGCAUCUGGGCCUGGAAGAGCUGGGAGGGGUCCCAGCCGUCCCAGGUCAGUUCUGCACUGGUCUUCGGUGCUUUGUGCUCACCCCCCUUCCUUCAGGGAGUGACCUACUCCUGCUUCUGAUGUGUCUCCAGGGGCUUCUCUUGGACCCUCUUCUGAGGCCAGGGGUGCCCCAGCCUGCUGCAUGGGACCUGCUCCCGAUAGCCCCAGAGAGAGCUGGGGUUCUGCCUUCCCCCUGAAGCCUCGACGGGGAUGAGCAGCCUGGUCACCCCCAGAGCCCAGACCCCUCCUGAGUCCCAGAAGGAGGCCUCUCCUGUCCUCCAGCCUGACACCGACCCUUCCAUCGUGGGCCCCUCUUGUACUUCAGGCUGGGAGGGCCAGCCCCAGCAAGCACCCUUGACACAGGGAAGAGGUCCACCCCAGGUCUUGAG